rnacentral:rRNA from 1 species
GGGUUGUGAGGUUAAGCGACUAAGCGUACACGGUGGAUGCCUUGGCAGUCAGAGGCGAUGAAGGACGUGCUAAUCUGCGAUAAGCGUCGGUAAGGUGAUAUGAACCGUUAUAACCGGCGAUUUCCGAAUGGGGAAACCCAGUGUGUUUCGACACACUAUCAUUAACUGAAUCCAUAGGUUAAUGAGGCGAACCGGGGGAACUGAAACAUCUAAGUACCCCGAGGAAAAGAAAUCAACCGAGAUUCCCCCAGUAGCGGCGAGCGAACGGGGAGCAGCCCAGAGCCUGAAUCAGUGUGUGUGUUAGUGGAAGCGUCUGGAAAGGCGUGCGAUACAGGGUGACAGCCCCGUACACAAAAAUGCACAUGCUGUGAGCUCGAUGAGUAGGGCGGGACACGUGGUAUCCUGUCUGAAUAUGGGGGGACCAUCCUCCAAGGCUAAAUACUCCUGACUGACCGAUAGUGAACCAGUACCGUGAGGGAAAGGCGAAAAGAACCCCGGCGAGGGGAGUGAAAAAGAACCUGAAACCGUGUACGUACAAGCAGUGGGAGCACGCUUAGGCGUGUGACUGCGUACCUUUUGUAUAAUGGGUCAGCGACUUAUAUUCUGUAGCAAGGUUAACCGAAUAGGGGAGCCGAAGGGAAACCGAGUCUUAACUGGGCGUUAAGUUGCAGGGUAUAGACCCGAAACCCGGUGAUCUAGCCAUGGGCAGGUUGAAGGUUGGGUAACACUAACUGGAGGACCGAACCGACUAAUGUUGAAAAAUUAGCGGAUGACUUGUGGCUGGGGGUGAAAGGCCAAUCAAACCGGGAGAUAGCUGGUUCUCCCCGAAAGCUAUUUAGGUAGCGCCUCGUGAAUUCAUCUCCGGGGGUAGAGCACUGUUUCGGCAAGGGGGUCAUCCCGACUUACCAACCCGAUGCAAACUGCGAAUACCGGAGAAUGUUAUCACGGGAGACACACGGCGGGUGCUAACGUCCGUCGUGAAGAGGGAAACAACCCAGACCGCCAGCUAAGGUCCCAAAGUCAUGGUUAAGUGGGAAACGAUGUGGGAAGGCCCAGACAGCCAGGAUGUUGGCUUAGAAGCAGCCAUCAUUUAAAGAAAGCGUAAUAGCUCACUGGUCGAGUCGGCCUGCGCGGAAGAUGUAACGGGGCUAAACCAUGCACCGAAGCUGCGGCAGCGACGCUGAUGCGUUGUUGGGUAGGGGAGCGUUCUGUAAGCCUGCGAAGGUGUGCUGUGAGGCAUGCUGGAGGUAUCAGAAGUGCGAAUGCUGACAUAAGUAACGAUAAAGCGGGUGAAAAGCCCGCUCGCCGGAAGACCAAGGGUUCCUGUCCAACGUUAAUCGGGGCAGGGUGAGUCGACCCCUAAGGCGAGGCCGAAAGGCGUAGUCGAUGGGAAACAGGUUAAUAUUCCUGUACUUGGUGUUACUGCGAAGGGGGGACGGAGAAGGCUAUGUUGGCCGGGCGACGGUUGUCCCGGUUUAAGCGUGUAGGCUGGUUUUCCAGGCAAAUCCGGAAAAUCAAGGCUGAGGCGUGAUGACGAGGCACUACGGUGCUGAAGCAACAAAUGCCCUGCUUCCAGGAAAAGCCUCUAAGCAUCAGGUAACAUCAAAUCGUACCCCAAACCGACACAGGUGGUCAGGUAGAGAAUACCAAGGCGCUUGAGAGAACUCGGGUGAAGGAACUAGGCAAAAUGGUGCCGUAACUUCGGGAGAAGGCACGCUGAUAUGUAGGUGAAGCGACUUGCUCGUGGAGCUGAAAUCAGUCGAAGAUACCAGCUGGCUGCAACUGUUUAUUAAAAACACAGCACUGUGCAAACACGAAAGUGGACGUAUACGGUGUGACGCCUGCCCGGUGCCGGAAGGUUAAUUGAUGGGGUCAGCGCAAGCGAAGCUCUUGAUCGAAGCCCCGGUAAACGGCGGCCGUAACUAUAACGGUCCUAAGGUAGCGAAAUUCCUUGUCGGGUAAGUUCCGACCUGCACGAAUGGCGUAAUGAUGGCCAGGCUGUCUCCACCCGAGACUCAGUGAAAUUGAACUCGCUGUGAAGAUGCAGUGUACCCGCGGCAAGACGGAAAGACCCCGUGAACCUUUACUAUAGCUUGACACUGAACAUUGAGCCUUGAUGUGUAGGAUAGGUGGGAGGCUUUGAAGUGUGGACGCCAGUCUGCAUGGAGCCGACCUUGAAAUACCACCCUUUAAUGUUUGAUGUUCUAACGUGGACCCGUGAUCCGGGUUGCGGACAGUGUCUGGUGGGUAGUUUGACUGGGGCGGUCUCCUCCUAAAGAGUAACGGAGGAGCACGAAGGUUGGCUAAUCCUGGUCGGACAUCAGGAGGUUAGUGCAAUGGCAUAAGCCAGCUUGACUGCGAGCGUGACGGCGCGAGCAGGUGCGAAAGCAGGUCAUAGUGAUCCGGUGGUUCUGAAUGGAAGGGCCAUCGCUCAACGGAUAAAAGGUACUCCGGGGAUAACAGGCUGAUACCGCCCAAGAGUUCAUAUCGACGGCGGUGUUUGGCACCUCGAUGUCGGCUCAUCACAUCCUGGGGCUGAAGUAGGUCCCAAGGGUAUGGCUGUUCGCCAUUUAAAGUGGUACGCGAGCUGGGUUUAGAACGUCGUGAGACAGUUCGGUCCCUAUCUGCCGUGGGCGCUGGAGAACUGAGGGGGGCUGCUCCUAGUACGAGAGGACCGGAGUGGACGCAUCACUGGUGUUCGGGUUGUCAUGCCAAUGGCACUGCCCGGUAGCUAAAUGCGGAAGAGAUAAGUGCUGAAAGCAUCUAAGCACGAAACUUGCCCCGAGAUGAGUUCUCCCUGACUCCUUGAGAGUCCUGAAGGAACGUUGAAGACGACGACGUUGAUAGGCCGGGUGUGUAAGCGCAGCGAUGCGUUGAGCUAACCGGUACUAAUGAACCGUGAGGCUUAACCUUACAACGCCGAAGGUGUUU